AGAGUGAACGCUGGCGGUAGGCCUAACACAUGCAAGUCGAACGGCAGCACGGUAAGAGCUUGCUCUUAUGGGUGGCGAGUGGCGGACGGGUGAGGAAUACAUCGGAAUCUACCUUUUGGUGGGGGGAUAACGUAGGGAAACUUACGCUAAUACCGCAUACGCCCUUCGGGGGAAAGCCGGGGACCAGCAAUGGCCUGGUGCUGAUAGAUGAGCCGAUGUCGGAUUAGCUAGUUGGUGAGGUAAUGGCUCACCAAGGCGACGAUCCGUAGCUGGUCUGAGAGGAUGAUCAGCCACACUGGAACUGAGACACGGUCCAGACUCCUACGGGAGGCAGCAGUGGGGAAUAUUGGACAAUGGGCGCAAGCCUGAUCCGAGCCAUACCGCGUGGGUAGAAGAAGGCCUUCGGGUUGUAAAAGCCCCUUUUAGGUUGGAAAGUAAAAGCAAGUUCGGUAAAUACCCGGUGUUCUGACGUACCAAAGAAUAAGACACGG
rnacentral:rRNA from 1 species